rnacentral:miRNA from 1 species
GUUGAAAUUUAGUGUCUAUCUCUC